rfam:Triticum aestivum genome assembly, contig: Triticum_aestivum_CS42_TGACv1_scaffold_474292_6AL
AUGGUACUGCCUCCAUCCCAAAAUUCUUGUCUUAGAUUUGUCUAAAUACGGAUGUAUCAAGUCACGUUUUAGUAUUAGAUACAUCCGUAUCUAGACAAAUCUAAGACAAGAAUUUUGGGACGGAGGGAGUACAUA